rnacentral:tRNA from 1 species
GGGGUUGUAGCUCAGUGGUAGAGUGCUUGUCUAGCAUGUGUGAAGCCCUGGGUUUGACCUCAGCACCACCU